UACAUUCGUAACACGUUUGUUGCUACGUGGUAUUUCGGUGUUGUCUGAAAAAAAUGUUGCUAUUGCGCAGUUGUUUUCCCGAAAUGAGUUGCUGGAGGUUACACAUAUGGCUUAAUAAGAACCGCCAACUUGAUGCAUAAUAAAGUGCGUAGGAUUUCUUGUCAAUUUACCGGAAAAAUAUAUUUUCUAAACGGCGUUGUUGUUUAGAUUGGAUUAACACGUCUAUGUUCAGAAAUACGUUACAGUGUAGUGUAGAAAUACCAAUUUUCCAGUAAUGGAUCUCGUGAAAUCCUAUAGUUGACAAAUAUCUGGCACAAGGUACGAGAAUACAAACGAUCACACACACUCCAGGAAAUUUAGGAAGGUCAGUUUGCCUAAUUGCAUGUUUUUGGUCAGCUGGAGUAAACUGAAAUACCCACGCAACGUGCAAUUAUACAUACAGGUCUGUAUGGGAACGCGGGAGGUGAAAAGUUAAAGUACUUCCUGUAAUUACGAUUUAAAAGAGAUUCGUCAUUGAAUAGUGACCUGAAUUGUCAUUUUCAUAACUGGUAAUUUUAAGUAAAAAGCAAUGAAAAAAAAGAGUAAAAUAAUACAUUAACCAGAAUAUAUGGCUUCGGUAUUGGAUCACAUAGUAUUUUCUGCGCUAUUGAUGGACGACGAAAACAGGAAACCUGUGAUGUAUUCAGUUCCAGCCAGCUGAAGUACGUGAAGAUGAGGAAAGAAUAUUCUGGUCGUCUCUGUCUGUCCCAGUCUCACUGGAGCUCAAGUACAUGCACUGCGUCUUAGGAUUUCAAGGACACACUGCUUCCGCUGAACCUGUUUUUUUACUCGUUUGAAUUGAGUGACAGUGAACCUGGACAUGAGCACAUGAUGCACUGGGUAUAAGAGGAUAACACCCUGUAUGGGAUAGCAGUCACUCAUUCAUAAUGGGGAGAUGUCCCUAGAUACUGAAGAUGGCUGAGGCUGAAGAUGAUGAUUAUACCUGACAGCUGUCACAAUUCCUUAAUUGACAGUGAUGAUACCAUUCAACAGUCAUAUUGCCAUAUAUUGGCUUGUUUCCUUCUAAAGGAAAUUACUGUGGUCAGUGUGCAUGGACUUUUUAGCAUGACAGUUUCUUUUGGAAAAUGUGAUUUUUCCUAAUAAAACAGCAUGCGAAAGCAC